CGCGAACGCUUACGGCGUGCCUAACACAUGCAAGUCGCGGGGCAGCGGAGUCCUUCGGGACUGCCGGCGACCGGCAAACGGGUGAGUAACGCGUAGCUAACCUACCCUCAGGAUGGGGAUAACCCCUCGAAAGGGGGGCUAAUACCCAAUAAAGAGGCGUAUCAAUAGAUGUGCCUCCAAAGGCCUUCGGGCGCCUGAGGAUGGGGCUGCGUCCCAUCAGGUAGUUGGUGAGGUAAAGGCUCACCAAGCCGACGACGGGUAGCUGGUCUGAGAGGAUGGCCAGCCACAGUGGGACUGAGACACGGCCCGCACCCCUACGGGGGGCAGCAGUGGGGAAUCUUAGGCAAUGGCCGGAAGGCUGACCCAGCGACGCCGCGUGGUGGAGGAAGCCCUUCGGGGUGUAAACACCUGUCAGUGGGGAAGAUAAUGACGGUACCCACAGAGGAAGGGACGGCUAACUACGUGCCAGCAGCCGCGGUAAUACGUA
rnacentral:rRNA from 1 species